UACGUAGGGGGCAAGCGUUAUCCGGAUUCACUGGGCGUAAAGGGAGCGCAGGCGGCAUGGCAAGUCUGAUGUGAAAACCCGGGGCCCAACCCCGGGGGUGCAUUGGAAACUGCCAGGCUGGAGUGUCGGAGGGGUAAGCGGAAUUCCUAGUGUAGCGGUGAAAUGCGUAGAUAUUAGGAGGAACACCAGUGGCGAAGGCGGCUUACUGGACGACUACUGACGCUGAGGCUCGAAAGCGUGGGGAGCAAACAGG
rnacentral:rRNA from 1 species